rnacentral:rRNA from 1 species
GAUGAACGCUGGCGGCGUGCUUAACACAUGCAAGUCGAACGAAACACCUUAUUUGAUUUUCUUCGGAACUGAAGAUUUGGUGAUUGAGUGGCGGACGGGUGAGUAACGCGUGGGUAACCUGCCCUGUACAGGGGGAUAACAGUCAGAAAUGACUGCUAAUACCGCAUAAGACCACAGCACCGCAUGGUGCAGGGGUAAAAACUCCGGUGGUACAGGAUGGACCCGCGUCUGAUUAGCUGGUUGGUGAGGUAACGGCUCACCAAGGCGACGAUCAGUAGCCGGCUUGAGAGAGUGAACGGCCACAUUGGGACCGAGACACGGCCCAAACUCCUACGGGAGGCAGCAGUGGGGAAUAUUGCACAAUGGGGGAAACCCUGAUGCAGCGACGCCGCGUGAGUGAAGAAGUAUCUCGGUAUGUAAAGCUCUAUCAGCAGGGAAGAAAAUGACGGUAC